GACGAACGCUGGCGGCGUGCUUAACACAUGCAGGUCGAACGGAAAGGCCCGGCUUUUGUGGGGUGCUCGAGUGGCGAACGGGUGAGUAACCCGUGAGUAACCUGCCCUUGACUUUGGGAUAACUUCAGGAAACUGGGGCUAAUACCGGAUAGGAGCUCCUGCUGCAUGGUGGGGGUUGGAAAGUUUCGGCGGUUGGGGAUGGACUCGCGGCUUAUCAGCUUGUUGGUGGGGUAGUGGCUUACCAAGGCUUUGACGGGUAGCCGGCCUGAGAGGGUGACCGGCCACAUUGGGACUGAGAUACGGCCCAGACUCCUACGGGAGGCAGCAGUGGGGAAUAUUGCACAAUGGGCGGAAGCCUGAUGCAGCAACGCCGCGUGCGGGAUGACGGCCUUCGGGUUGUAAACCGCUUUCGCCUGUGACGAAGCGUGAGUGACGGUAAUGGGUAAAGAAGCACCGGCUAACUACGUG
rnacentral:rRNA from 1 species